UACGUAGGUGGCAAGCGUUGUCCGGAAUUAUUGGGCGUAAAGCGCGCGCAGGCGGUCCUUUAAGUCUGAUGUGAAAGCCCACGGCUCAACCGUGGAGGGUCAUUGGAAACUGGGGGGCUUAGUGCAGAAAAGGAGAGUGGAAUUCCACGUGUAGCAGUGAAAUGCGUAGAUAUGCGGAGGAACACCGAUGGCGAAGGCAAUCCCCUGGGCCUGCACUGAC
rnacentral:rRNA from 1 species